AAGGAACAGCCCUACAUGUAGUACAUUGAAGCCGUGUCAUGCUGCGUUGACAAAAGACAGGUCCUUGUGUUCCUGUUUUGGACAACCUGCCUGUGAAAAGCACUGGAAAAUUGUUAGAGCCUUCAGGUGGAAGCAGUGCAUAGAAUAUUCAGGCCAUUUCUUAAGGAGAGAAGAAAGAUCACACAGUAAGACGACUGUUAAAAAGAAUUCCUUUUCUUCACUGAAACUUGGAUUAGAUAACAAGAUUCAAAAAUGCAGGAAAUGGAAAAUACAUUGUUCAGCUGAGAUCAUAAAUGGCCUCAUUUCAAAACAGAUGGUCUCCAUUUAUCACUUCACAAAAUUUGUGGACCUUCUGAAUAUCCAGAGAUUGCUUAACAUCGUCUACAUACCCACAAAUAUUUGUGCUGUCCUAGAGGAAGGUCUGAAAUUUCCCACAUGAUUUUAUGCUGUUGACAUUACAGCUUUUUUUAAGGGCAGCAGUUCUAAACACGGUGUAAUCCACACAUUUCUAGCAAAAUGCAUGUAAAAGGAAAAUUGUAAAAUAUGGAAAUAUACAGUUCAGUGACUCCUGCAUAUGCAACAUAUAGGCUUC